UACAGAGGGUGCAAGCGUUAAUCGGAUUUACUGGGCGUAAAGCGUGCGUAGGUGGCCAAUUAAGUCAAAUGUGAAAUCCCCGAGCUUAACUUGGGAAUUGCAUUCGAUACUGGUUGGCUAGAGUAUGGGAGAGGAUGGUAGAAUUCCAGGUGUAGCGGUGAAAUGCGUAGAGAUCUGGAGGAAUACCGAUGGCGAAGGCAGCCAUCUGGCCUAAUACUGACACUGAGGUACGAAAGCAUGGGGAGCAAACAGGAUUAGAUACCCUCGGUAGUCC
rnacentral:rRNA from 1 species